AGUACAGUGCAGAGUCCAAAGCUCAGUAAUUACGGUUGAUUGAUUGAGCUCCUCCUCAGUCAGUUGGAGUGAAAGGAUUUGAUCACGAGUGGAUAAAGCCUUGACAAUGACCAGUUUUGAAAUAAGGUGCCCUGGAGCAUCAGACAAGCAUUAGAAGAUCCAUCCUUUAACUUUUACAUUCGGGGUGCGGAAGAGAGGAGAGAGGGCCACUUUGCCCAGAAAAUUACUUUAUGACAGAUUCUCAAGUGGACACCAAAAAUAAUUAAUUAAAAUGGUCCAGAAUAAUCA